rnacentral:misc_RNA from 1 species
GAAGAAGCACACCAGCGCCACUAGCAGGAAUUGGUGCCGAACGAGCUCGUCUUCAGAGCUCCUUGAAUCGUGUAUGUUGCUGGUAUCCGGCGGCAGUGGAGGCCUCCUGCUCACACCCUUUUCGACUGCACUUGCCAACGGCUGCGUGCGUGGACGUCCAUUGGUGGCGGUGGCUGAUCAACCAACACAAAGCCAUCAUACGAAUGCGCAGAGGCAAGAGCGAAGUGGCACUUGACUCUUACACAGACCGAACCCGCGUGGACGUUGCCCGGCUCCCGCGCGCGCGUGCGUGUGUGUGUGUGCCCGCGCCUACUGUGUGCGGGAGAAUCGCGAGGUGCAAGUGCAUGCGCGCACGAGCCUGUAUGCGAGUGCUCCGUGUCUCUGACCUGCUGCCCCCUUUUUUAGUUGUUUUUUUUUUAUUUGUUUCGCACACUGGCAACUCGCGGCAUCGCGUCUCGACACGCUUGCCACCUCCUUCCGCAUCCUGCCGCUGCUGUUGGUGCGGCUCCCUUUUUCUUUUCAGAGUAGCGCACGCGCUUCGCCUCUUCUGCUUUUCUUGUGUGAGUCUGCUCGUCCUCAGCGCCCCGUGCACCGAGCCGUUCUGCGGGUCUCGCGCCCUGCGCCUUCUUCCGUGUGGCUAUUGUUCCUCUCCGCUGGCCUCUGCACGCAGGUGCUUCUCUCAUUCGCACCGCCCUUAUUCCCCUUGUGCCCAUCAGCCACUGCCGCCCUCUGUCCCUCCACGUUGCUUCGCGGUCGCUGUCGCAGUGGUGGUAGUGGUUGGCGUGGUGCCUUCGCCUUAUUCUUUUUUCUUUGCCCUGCCGUCGCGCUGACGCUUCCACGGCUAGAUCUUAAUCAUGCAUGACCCUGGCGCCUUCGAUGGCUCGAGCCAGGAGAGGCUUAUGCGCCUCUCGCUGAAUUCCAGUGCUACUUUCAAGCUCGGCUAUGGGAGGCUCUCUGCUGCCGAUGAUGCACCGCACGACCCCCUCGAUCCAGUGCAGCCGACCGAGGGCGAGGUGGUGGCUGGUGCCGACCAGUACGACACACCCGAUCCGGACGCGAGUCUGCACGCUGCGCUGUUGUACGUGGAGCCUCCUGCACCGGCUGCUGCGGGCGCGUCAUGGGACGGCUUUGGCGCCUACGACGGAGAGGACGAGGAUGAAGGCGAGGCGAUGGAGCCGGUGACCACCGCCGUGCACCCGCUUGGCGGCACCGAGGCGUCUAAUCGUAGCUGGUACUCACCCUCGAAGCGGCGCGCCGGCUUGGGCGCGAUGCGUCGCAACGAGCUGAUGAGCCGAACUGUGAACCUUAGCAGAUUAGACAUGCAUAUGUCUAGUAAUCUCUCAUUGGGGGCCAGUAGGACGAGCACUGUGUCAGAGAAGGACACCUCCACGAACAGCGGCGGUAAGGGGUCCCCAGAUGACAGCGACAGCUUCAGUGAUACCGAUGAGGUGCCCGCGCGCGCCUCUUUCGUGGACCAGCUGCUCGCUGUAGUAGAACGCUCGACGCGAGAGCUCUGGCGGCGUAAGUUGGACCUGCUUUUAGACAUCACCGUGCCACUGAUCUUCGUGGUCGUGUCCAUUGCGUUGUGGGCCAUCUGGGGCACGCAGUACAACGAGGAGAUGACUUACGUUUCCACGAAUCUGGAGUCUGGCAACAUCGGUGCGGCCGGUCUUCGUGCACCGGCUACCUACGACUUCACGUGCAUGAGGCAGCCAGAAGGGACGCCAACGUUGGCUGACUUCACACGCUGCAAGCCCAUGGACUACACCACCUGCGAUUCUGUCACGGGGGAGUGCAAGACGCAGAGCAUCAUCACCUUCAUCUGCGAUGGCGACUCGAGCAUGCUUCCGCUGCCGGAGGAAUACGAGAUAUGCCGUGUAUCGUACGACUGGGAGGAGCUCAUCACUGCAGGUUUAAGCUACUACUGGCGAUGGCUGUCAGCUGUCCCCACCCUCGACAUGCUCAUAGGUCUCCAGUGGACGGCUCUGUCUGCGUACCGCUAUCUACUCCCUUUCAUCGCGAAAACGAUGGCCGGGCUCGCCGCCAACACACGCUACAGUGCGAUUCUGUGCAGCGGCCAUUUGUACUUCGUAGGUGAGCGUGGCGUGACCUCGGAGCUAAUUGCGUACAUGAACAGGACCUCUGGGCUAUUUCAAUACGUGACGGACUUUCAGGUGUACAGCAGCGUCGCGGAGGCUCGCAGCGCUGCGAGGCGCGGUGGCCGUGUAUGGGCGAUCGUGGAGCUGCGGCAGAUCGGCGAGGCGGGGCUGGAUCUUGUGCUGCAUAUGAACAACUCCGCCCUGCCGUCGUUUGCCACCACGUACGACGACGCGUACAGCGGCGGGGUGCUGUUUGACACGGCGGAGCUGUACAUGCUAUCCGGCUUCAACACGCUACAGCAGCUGGUGUCGGAGUUCUACCUGAACACAUUCCACGACGCGCAGAUGAACAUGACGCAGAUGAUGGCGGCCACGGCCACUCCAGAGUACAAGCGCGUGCCGCUGAUGGCGCAGGCGCGACAGGUACUACCGCUCAUCUUCUCCCUUGCCUUUCUGUACAGCGUGUCGCAGCAGACGAAGCGCAUCGUGCUGGAGAAGGAGCUGCGGAUCCGCGAGGCCAUGCAGAUCAUGGGGCUGAAGCAGUGGACGCUCUACGCGAGCGAGCUCAUUGUGCAGAUGGCGAUAUUUGUGCCGACGUGCGUGCUGUGCGUGGUGAUGCUGAAGCUGACGUACGUGACGAAGAGCGACCCGCUGAUUCUGUUCCUCAUCUUCUGCCUCUUCGCCCUCACGACGAUCCCGCUGUCCGGCAUGAUCGCUGCUUUCUUCAGCAAGUCGCGCCUGGCGUCGCUGGUAGCGCCGGUGGUGUACUUUAUCCUUGUGAUCCCGAUGUUCGCCAUGACCAACGCGCAGGGCUUGAUCGUGACGUGGUUCUCUGUGUUCUCGCCGACGGGGUUUGCUGCGGCGCUGAAUGUGUUCCUACUGCACGAGUCUGGGAGCGGGUGCGGCGCGGCGGAGAUGAUGUCGAGUCGCGACAACCCGACGCUGGCAGUUGUGCUUGUGAUGCUGGCGGUGGACUGCUGCAUGUACUACGCGCUGAUGCUGUACCUGGACGCGGUCCUGCCGAAGCAGUGGGGUACGCGCAAGCACCCGCUCUUCUUCAUCAUGGAGCCGGUGCGGUGGUUUUCUGGACCGAGCGCGCGCGUGCUGGAGGGCGGCGCCGACGGGCGCGCCGAGAACGGCGUGUUCGAGGAGAUCACAGAAGGCGGCGCCGACUACGCCGUUUGCGCCACUGGGCUGCGCAAGGAGUACUCGCGCGGCGGCAAGAGGUUCGUUGCGGUGAACAACCUGUACUGGGGGAUGCGCGAGGGCGAGAUCUCUGUGCUGCUGGGGCACAACGGCGCCGGCAAGACGACGACGAUGAACAUGAUGACGGGGAUGGUAUCGGCGGACGCGGGCGACUGCUACAUUUACGGCAGCUCUGUCCGCAACCAGCUAGAGAAGGCGCGCCAGCAGAUCGGAUACUGCCCGCAGCACAACAUCCUAUGGGGCGAGCUGACGUGCCGCGACCACCUGGAGUUCUUUGGGCGUAUUAAGGGGUUGCGCGGGUGGGAGCUGGAGAAUGCCGUGUGCCGGAUGCUGCACGAGACGGACCUGCUGGAGAAGAUGGACCAGCCGGCGAAGAGCCUGUCUGGCGGGCAGAAGCGCAAGCUGUCGAUCGCGGUCGCGUUUGUUGGCGGCAGCCGUCUUGUGUUUCUCGACGAGCCGACUGCCGGGCUGGACGUUGGCGCGCGGCGGCAGACGUGGGAGCUGCUGCGGCGCAUGUCGCAUUCAUGCACGCUGCUGCUGACGACGCACUUCAUGGACGAGGCGGACCUGCUGGGACAGCGAAUCGGGAUCAUGAGCCAGGGGCGACUGAAGUGCUCGGGCAGCAGCCUUUUCCUGAAGUCGCGGCUGGGUGUCGGCUACAACAUCGUCAUUUCCGUUGAUCCCGAGCUAGAUCUCGAUGCUGUGGAUGAAGUGGUGCUUGGAACGGUGGAUGGCGCGGAGCUGCUUGGGCGGAACGGGUGUGAGGUAUCGUACCAGCUACCUGUGCAGAGCGUGAGCCAGUUCCCGGCGCUGCUGAACGAGAUAGACUCCGUGGAGGCGGACGGCAUCCGCGGCUACUCGCUGGCUGCGACGACGCUGGAGGAGGUGUUCUUGAAGGUUUCGGAGGAGGACAUCUCGGGCCGUAGCGAGGCUGCAGCGCAGGAGGGCGUGGAGCUAAUCUGGAACUGCGAGGUGGCGCCGUCAGCGCUAUGGCUGCAGUUCCGUGCGAUGAUCGCGAAGCGGUUCUGGAGCGCGCUGCGGGACCGGAAGAUGCAGUGCUUCCAGAUUGUGUGCCCGGUUGUGUGCAUCCUGAUCGCCAUGCUGCUGAACCUCGUGCGGUACCGAGACCCUCAGUCGCUUACGUACAACUACUCGAUGUUCGCGAACCGACCGACUUCUGUGCUGGACACAUCGUUCUGCGACGCGAUGUGGGGUGGCGCUCCGACGGGCGCGGUGGACUACGAGGUGAACGAGACUCACUUGACGGGUGCGCAGGCGCUGUCGGACUACCUGCUGGAUACGUGGUACGUGCACGACAUGCCGCGCUACGGCGCUGUGUCGUGCAUUGAUCGGAACGUGACGGCGCUGCUGAGAUUUGCGGAUGAGUGGCGCGGCACCAACGUGAACGUGUUCCUGUACAACUCCUCCUCGCACCAUCAGGCUGGGCUGAACCUCGCAACGUACUACGACCUGUUCAUCAAGUCCUUCCUCGGCCGCGACAGCGCGUUCAUGCGGUACAAGGUGGAGCUGUUCAACGAGCCUGCGAGCCAGUCGCAGCUGGGCUUCAUCUUCAUUGGCGCCCUGGUGAUGAUCCCGUUCACGUUCCUGCCGGCGAACCCUGUUGCGUGGGUGGUGAAGGAGCGGCAGUGCGGGUCGCGGCACCUGCAGGACCUGUGCGGGCUGAGCUUCUUCGUGUACUGGACGGCCAACUAUACAUUCGACAUGCUGGCCUACUUUGUCACGACGCUGCUGUGCAUCCUCAUCUUCUGUAUCUUCAGCCGGCAGGAUUUCGUCGGGCCGGACCGUGCUGGCGGCACGUUUAUGCUGCUCAUGGUCUACGGGCUCACGAGCACCGCUGGCGCGUACGCGCUGAGCUUCCUGUUCAAGGAGCACUCGUCUGCGCAGACGAUCGUGAUGGGUGUCGGCUUUGUUGCCGGGUUCCUUCUGUUGAUGCUGGUGUACGUGCUGGCGCUGGAUCCAGGCAACGUGGACACGUCAGACAAGAUGCGGUGGGAAUUCCGGUUGAUCCCGUCGUACUGCAUCGGCGAGGGGCUCAUCGGGCUGCUGAUGCUGGACAGCAAGCUGGCCAUGGGCACCGCAACCAGUGCUUGGGACAUGGACCAGCUUGGGUGGCCGCUGCUGUACAUGGCAGUGGAGCUCCCUGCGUUCUGGCUGAUCGUUCUGUGCGUGGACCACCCGGCGGUGAGGCGGUGCCUGCAGCGGCUGCGCUACAACCGCGACGCGGAGCCAAUCAUCCCGAGCGACGAGGACUCGGACGUGGAGGACGAGCGCGAGGCUGUGUACGAGGCGGGGCAGAUGGGCGACACGACGAGCGACGUUGUGCGAGUGGUGAACCUGCAGAAGCGGUACGGGAACGGUAACAUUGCUGUGAAGGGCAUCACGUUCUCGAUCUUCCCCGGGGAGGUGUUCGGCUUUCUCGGCACGAACGGUGCUGGCAAGACGACGACGAUUUCGAUGCUGUGCCAGCAGUUCCUGCCGACGGGCGGCAGCGCGUACGUGUGCGGGUACGACAUCGUUGAGCAGAGCAAGGAGGCGCUGCAGUGCAUCGGGUACUGCCCGCAGUUCGACGCGACGCUGGACCUGCUCACUGUGGAGGAGCAGCUGGAGCUGUACGCUGGGAUCCGCGGGAUCGUGCGUGCGGAGUGGCCUGCGCUCGUGGACGCGCUGUGCACGCUGUGCGAGCUAACGAUGUACCGCAAGACGGUGACGAGUGCGCUCUCCGGUGGCAACCGGCGCAAGCUGUCUGUGGCGAUAGCGCUGGUGGGCGGUCCGCAGGUGGUCUUCCUGGACGAGCCGUCGGCCGGCAUGGACCCUGUGGCGCGACGCGGGAUGUGGACUGCGAUCCAGCGCGCCGCGGGGCACUGCUCCGUUGUGCUGACGACGCACCACCUGGAGGAGGUGGAGGCGCUCGCGGACAUUGUGGCGAUCAUGGUGCGCGGGUACGUGCGGUGCGUCGGCGACAAGGUGCACCUGAAGAACAAGUUCGGCAGCGCCUUCGAGGUGAGCGUGCGGCUCGCGUCGGCGCAGCACGCGGAGCUCUUUGCGUCGUUCAUGCAGGCGGCGUUCCCCGACGCUGUGCGGAGCGAAGGCGAGGGUCGGCGGCUCGUGUACCAGCUGCCGCGCGAUCGCGGCUUCGGCGACGUGUUCCAGACGUUCCAGGCGAACAAGGAGCAGCUGCACAUCACGGACUACAGCGUGUCGCAGACGUCCAUUGAACAGAUCUUUAUGAAGGUUCGGGCACUUGCGAUGAAUUUACGCUAGGUGGACGUGGCGACUGCGUGAGUACAACUGGCGCGGCUGUACUCGUGGAGGGAACUGUGGUGCAUGCGUAGCUGUCUUUGAAGUGCCGGUGUCGCACCUUCUGGGGCAGGCUGCCGUGUCUCUGACUGCUUUCGUUUUGCAUGUGUGCAUACGCGCUGGAGCGGUGCAUGUCUGCUCAGGCGUCAGAUGGUAUUUGGUGAUACGCCGCGAUACACAAUGGUUCCUGUAGUCUCUGUGGCAGGGAAGCCUAGCGUGGCGUUUGUGUCUUCGUCGUGGCUCGCUGAAGAGAGCGGAGGUGGGUUUAAGCUUCCGUUCGGAUAUUUGAUGGUGCACUGGCCUUGCUCAUGCGUCGCAACCUCUUCGCUGAGCGGAGACAUGCCUUGGGUCAAGUUUGGCGCAGUACGCGUGGAGGCGUGCGCGUGCUUUUGCUUGGCGGUGUCAUGUGUGUUUCUGCUUCCUGUUAUAGUCUUCUUGUGCGCUUGUCGUGUCUGGUAUGGGCGGCGGCGCUGUGCCUCUUGCGAGUUGCGGCAGCGGGUUCUCCGUCUUAUAUGCUGCUGAUUGCACAUUACUUCUUGAUAGUCGCUUCAGUGGUUGGUGCGGCGCCUGUCUUGUAUAUGUACUCCUUGCGCGUUCGGGCAACUUCGCGUGUGCGGAUCGGCUUGCAUGUGCGGGUGUCGCACCUGGGUAGGCCUCUGCCCAGGAGCGCUCCCCUUAGCACCGUCAGACCCUUCCCCACCUAGCUUUCCGCAUCUUACGCUCACAUCCCGCCGCACAGGCCUGCUAACUGGCCCUGCCACCAUGCACAUGGCGUAGAGGGCUUCAUGUGCACAACUUUUUCCGUUUCUCUCUGCUAUCUUUACUGUCGGUGCGUGUUUACAGCGGCGACUGCCGCGCAGGUAAGCACUGUAAGCACGCGCGCGUAUGUGUGUAUUCUCUUUUGUGAGCUGUUUCUGUGUAUGUGUGUGUAUAUAUAUAUAUAUGUAUAUGGAUGUGUGUGUGCGCGCGCGCAUGGACAG